CUGGCUCAGGAUGAACGCUAGCGGCAGGCUUAACACAUGCAAGUCGAGGGGCAUCGGGAGUAGCAAUACUGCCGGCGACCGGCGCAAGGGUGCGUAACGCGUGAGCAACAUGCCCGUAUCAGGGGGAUAAUCCAUGGAAACGUGGUCUAAUACCCCAUAGUAAUUAUGUAAGGCAUCUUAUAUAAUUUAAAGCUUUGGUGGAUACGGAUUGGCUCGCGUGACAUUAGCUGGAUGGUAAGGUAACGGCUUACCAUGGCUACGAUGUCUAGGGGUUCUGAGAGGAAGGUCCCCCACACUGGAACUGAGACACGGUCCAGACUCCUACGGGAGGCAGCAGUGAGGAAUAUUGGACAAUGGAUGGAAAUCUGAUCCAGCCAUGCCGCGUGCAAGGAAGACGGCCCUAUGGGUUGUAAACUGCUUUUGUAUGGGAGCAAUAAGGGCUACGUGUAGUCCGAUGAGAGUACCAUACGAAUAAGCACCGGCUAACUCCGUGCCAGCCGCCGC
rnacentral:rRNA from 1 species